CAGUGGGAAAGGGGAGCUUGGGAUUUUGGGAUCUUGGGAAGGAAUUCCUGGCUGGGCUGGAAUUCCCAGAGGAUCCCUGGAAGCGUCCCAGGACAGGGAUCCCGCUCCCAAUUCCUGGGAUUUGCUUUCCCAGCCUCCCCCAUCCUUGUCCCUCACGCCGGGCUGCAGAAUCCUGGGAAUUCCGUGGAUUCCAUGAAAGGCAGGGGACGGGAACGCUCCGGGAUGUGGGAACGCCUGUUGCCAUGGGGUUGCCAUGGAAUUCGGAUCCGCAGUUUCCAUGGAAAUCGCCGGAGGAUUUUCCUCGGGAAAAAGGAUUUUCCCCACCCCCUAAAACUCAUCCCGAAGUGGAAUUAUCCAAGUAAAUCGCGGAAUUAGGGAAUCCGCCGGAGCCUGAAGAUGGCAGCAAGCACCCGCAGCAUUCCCGGCAGUGGGAACGGCUCCAUCCAACCCUCUGGAAGCGGCUCCAACUUCUCCCGCUCCCAAAUCCCGGCCGGAUCCUCCGGAGCUCAUUCCCUUCUCCAACAUUCCCCUUGGGAAAAAAAACCGCAAUUCCAAGCGUCGCUCCCUAGCGACGGAAUAAAUCCCGGCGGGGUUUUGAU